rnacentral:rRNA from 1 species
AUGUUAGCAAAGCAGUGUUGGCGACUGAUCCACAAUCCCGACUCUUUGUGUGCACGGGUCCUAGGUUUAAAAUACUACCCGAAUGGUAAUAUCAUGCGAGCUGGACCGAAGAAAGGCUCCUCGUUCACAUGGCAAAGUAUCUUUGCGGGAAUACAAACGUUCAGGAGGGGAUGUAUUUGGAGGGUGGGUACGGGUUCACAGAUUAAUAUCUGGGAGGAUUCAUGGAUUCCUUCAAGCCCGUUAAGGAAAGUAAUCACCCCUAGAGGGGGAGUUAUGUUAUCAAAAGUGCAAGAUAUAAUUGACCCACACACGGGUCAGUGGGAUGAGGCACUUAUUCAGAGUGUGUUCUCACCUGUUGAUGUAAGCAGAAUACUACAAAUCACACUCCAAGUUGAAGUAUUAGAGGAUUUUGUGGCAUGGAAAUUCACAAAGUCAGGAACAUUUUCAGUUCACUCGGCUUAUCACGUAGAGUUUGACCACCAGUUCGAUCGGCACUACAGAGAGACUAACAGUCCAGGAACUGCUCAGCUAAAUGCGGUCUGGAAGGAGAUUUGGCAGCUCCGCUUACCGGGAAAGAUCAAACAUUUUGGUUGGAAAGUGCUUAAGGGAGUUCUACCGUGCUAUGGUGUGCUGGCGGACAGACAUAUUCCCUUGAUUCCACAAUGCCCAAUAUGUAAGGUUGGCUUGGAAGAUAUUCAGCAUUGUUUAUUCACAUGUGAUAGUGCUCGACUUGUGUGGGCAUCACUAGGAUUAACAGAGGAGAUAGAUAAAGCUGUU